GAAGGGUGCAAGCGUUAUCCGGAUUCAUUGGGUUUAAAGGGUGCGUAGGCGGGGCGUUAAGUCAGUGGUGAAAUCCUGCAGCUUAACUGUAGAAUUGCCAUUGAUACUGGCGCUCUUGAGUACGCUUGACGUGGGCGGAAUGUGCCGUGUAGCGGUGAAAUGCUUAGAUAUGGCACAGAACACCGAUCGCGAAGGCAGCUCACGAAGGCGAAACUGACGCUGAGGCACGAAAGCGUGGGGAUCGAACAGGAUUAGAUACCCUGGUAGUCCACGCUGUAAACGAUGAUCACUCGUGAUCGGCGAUACACGGCCGGUCACCUAGCGAAAGCGUUAAGUGAUCCACCUGGGGAGUACGAUCGCAAGAUUG
rnacentral:rRNA from 1 species